rfam:Oryza nivara chromosome 8, whole genome shotgun sequence.
UAUAAGGGAUUUUGAGUUUUGGUUUGCACUGUUUGACCACUCGUCUUAUUCAGAAAGUUUUGGAAUUAUUAUUUAUUUUUUUACUUACUUUAUUAUCCAAAGUACUUUAAGCAUAAUUUUUCGUUUUUUAUAUUUGCACAAUUUUUUUGAAUAAGACGAGUGGUCAAACAAUGCAAAUAGAAACUCAAAAUCCCAUAUAUU